ncrna:unclassified sequences L13-Bacteroidia ribosomal protein leader
GGGGAUGAACUUAGAGUCCCUGGUACGGGAGUGUUAAUAGUGAAGCUUUUGGCCGAGUUUCAUGGUUAGUGAAUC